CGGAUGAACGCUGGCGGCGUGCCUAAUACAUGCAAGUCGAACGAGGAACUUUAAUCUUCGGAUGAAAGUUUCCUAGUGGCGAACGGGUGAGUAACGCGUUGGUGACCUGCCCCAAAGGUGGGGGAUAACAGUUCGAAAGGACUGCUAAUACCGCAUAAGAUCAAUGGGAUUAGAUGCCUAUUGAUUAAAGGCGAAAGUCGCUUUGGGAGGGGCCUGCGUCCCAUCAGCUUGUUGGUAGGGUAAUAGCCUACCAAGGCUAAGGCGGGUAGGGGACCUGAGAGGGUGGCCCCCCACACUGGCACUGAAACACGGGCCAGACACCUACGGGUGGCAGCAGUAGGGAAUAUUGGACAAUGGGCGAAAGCCUGAUCCAGCAACGCCGCGUGCGCGAUGAAGGCCUUCGGGUUGUAAAGCGCUUUUAGGGGAGAUGAGAAAGGACAGUAUCCUCUGAAUAAGCCUCGGCGAACUACGUG
rnacentral:rRNA from 1 species